CCACACACAGCUCAAAACUGUUCCUCGUUUUAAGGAAGGGUGGUGUGGCAGUAUUUAAACCCAGGAGCUGAUGACACUACUGCUAAAAAAACACAGAAGAAAAAGUAGUGUGUUUGUGUUUGUGUGUGUGUGUGUGCGCGCGCGCGCGUGCGCGUAGCUCGUUCGUUCCUGUCUCCAGGCUAGUAAGUACUGAGGGCUUCAUCUAUCUAAAAGGAGUCAUUUGCAUCUGAAUGUGGCAGCACCGGGACACAGCAGCAGAGCGAGUCAACAUCCAGAAGACUGGAGCCGUGUUUCACUGACAGGCUGUCAGACUAAAGCCCUGAUGAGCUCAGCUGGGACAAACUGGUCUGAUGUUUAGGAACACAGAACGUUCAGAUGUUGGCAUUUCACGUCACCUACUGAGGAAGGAGACCCACCAGUAAAGAGACGGUCUGGACCAGACCAAAAAUAUGGCGAUGACAUCAUGGAACUGGUCUUUGGAAAAGUUUUCCCUGAACCAACUCCUUUUCUAGAUGAGGUAGAGAAGAUCUGCAUCUCACCAACCCUCUGGUCUCAGUAUUCAGACAACGGAGGUCUCCCACUGUUAUCCAGGACCAGUUUGAAGCCCACAUACUGCCCCUCCCUCAUCAUCAGGAAACAUCAAUCCGUAUCCUGAGGACAACAGAAGACGGCAGGAGGACAGGAACUCUGAGACCUAGACACCACCAGCACCGAGACACAAAGCACCUGUGUGCACAACGCCUGUUUAACUACUAAAGCCUGUUUAUUAUAUAGUUCUACUUAUUUGCUGUGAGGUUAAUACUUAGAAAAUUUGUAUAUUAAUGUAAAUAAUUUAAAAAAAUCACUGAUUGUAUGUUUUCUUUUAGAUGUAAUGGUCCAAACUCCGCCUUGUAGACAUUUAUUGCAUCCUGUAGGUAAAUACACAGAACAGGCUCAGAUCCAGGAUGACCCAGCAUGCUCUUCUUCCAUUCUGGCUGUUAGGGAUUUUAUCAAUAACUCAAUGCCUACUGAUGUUUUCACCUAACGGUAUUUAUUUAGAAUGCAGGUAAGAUUUAACUAUAUUUGUUAGCAAAGCAGACUGAUCUUGGGAAUUUCACUGCAGCACUGAUGUCCACCUCUCUGUACACAUUAGAGAGAAUUACCACUUUUCAGCUAAACACAUUUAAUAAAGAUAUAGGCUACGCAUUGCAGACAAUAAAAACAAAGUUGUAAGCAUUAGAAUUAUAAUGAUCACAUUAAAGAACAUUUGGAGGAAUGUUCUUUAUUUUUGACUCGAAUCUCAAAUCUUUAAAUUAAAAUGUAACUGCUUUUUAUCCAUUUUCAGCCAUUAAGACACCCAAUAUAAAAUAAGACUACUUAUAAAAUUAUUUAUAAUUAUAUGUAUGUAUAUAUAGAUAGAGAUCUUAAUAAAAUGUAUUCUUUUAAUGGUGUUUUAAUGAGCUGUAUCAUUUUUUAAAACAUUUUUUAUAGAAAUAAAUAAGCAAGCAGCA